AAUAAUACCAGUGGUAGUGUCCACGGCUCAAAUGUAAGCCCGUUUGGCAUCACUCCUCUCCUCUCUCUGAGAGGAUUUCUUGUGCACAGAGUAUGAAGCAGUUGUGGAGCGCUGUGCCUUUGUCAAGAUACCAUCUUGUUUGUUGACUUCUUUCUUUGCUGUUUUUUCUUCAAAAUGCUGGAGUGCAGUGGUGCAACCACAGCUCACUGCACCUUCAAAUGCUGGGGCUCAAGCAAUCCUCUUACCUCCACUUUCCAAGCAGCUGGGACCACAGAUGUAUCCUCCACUCCUCGCUGGGCACCAUCCUGAUGCCCAACAGAAGAAGCUCUUCUGUCUCUGAUUUCCUGAACGGUCUAAGGACCA
rnacentral:sRNA from 1 species